GCCUAGUUAGCUUGGUUGGUAGCGCGUCUGCCUUGUAAGCUCUAAGCCGCGGGUUCGAUUCCCGCCCGUGGCG
rnacentral:tRNA from 1 species